rnacentral:misc_RNA from 1 species
GCGGUCCACUUUGAGAACGAACUGGUACGUGUUCUAGAGAUAGCCAUUUGCUUUUUUGAUGCUGGGAUUUCUCUGCUGAAGGGGUGCUUUGAAGUUUAGUUUGGACUGAAUUGUGAAUUUGAGGGGUUUGGCGGCGUAAUUGGGAUACCUUUUUCUGAAUUGCGUGUUCCGUUCGGAUUCUGUGUUUUUGAGGAGAAAUUUAAGAUUUUAGCUCUGGGAUUUUGUUUUAUGUUUGGAAAUUUUGAGUUUAGGGUUGUCUGUGCAUCUGUUCUUGUUAUCUGUGCUUGUUUUAUGGUACAUAUGUGAUGCAAUUUGGGAUUUCUGGACUCAUGUUGCACUGCUUUUAAGCCCUUACUAGUUGCUACCAUAAUUUUCUCAUUUGAAUUUAUGAAAUUUUAGGGUUCUUUGUGGUUGAGUUGAUGCGAAAUUUUAGAUUUCUUU